AAUUACAGUGGAAAAAUAAAAAGGAAAAAAAUUUAUGUUGGUGCAAUAUGUAAAAGGAAAAAUAUAAUAAAGAUAGUGGUCACUCAUUCUACAAUUUGUUUCCUUAAUUACAGUGAAAAAUGAAAAGGAAAAAAGUUUAUGUUUGUGCAAUAUGUAAAAAGAAAAAUAUGAUAAAGAUAGUGGUCACUCAUUGUACAAUUUGUUUCCUUAAUUACAGUGAAAAAUGAAAAGGAAAAAAAUUUAUGUUUGUACAAUAUGUGAAAAGAAAAAUAUAAUAAAGAUAGUGGUCACUCACUACAAUUUGUUUCCUUAAUUACUGUGAAAAAUGAAAAGGAAAAAAAUUUAUGUUUGUGCAAUAUGUGAAAAGAAAAAUAUAAUAAAGAUAGUGGUCACUCACUACAAUUUAUUUCCUUAAUUACAGUGAAAAACGAAAAGGAAAAAA
rnacentral:lncRNA from 1 species